CCAUGAACCAAUCAACUGCUCCGGUCGAUCUAAAGGGUUGGGCUUUUUAUACAAAAUAAUUGUCCUAUCGGAGUGUGAAAUUCUGUUUUAGGAAAUUGUUAUCCCAGUAGUAGUUUGGAAUUCAACGUGUUGCAUUUCAACGCGGAGCAUAGACGGCUGAAACCUUGUGCGAAGAGUCCGUCUACCCGUCUGUUUUUCAGAGUAAAUCUAGGGUUAAAUUGACAUUAUGGCUCUGGAUCUGUGCGGACAGCUGUGCAAGGUUAUUCUCAUCAUCUUCAACAUCGUGUUCGCCCUGCUUGGCGCUGCCAUGCUGGGCCUGGGACUGUGGCUGCGGUUUGGCGCCUUCACACAAGGCCUCUUCGACGUCAACUUCAACACACAGCAGUUUGUCAUUGGUGUGAUGGUGCUGAUCGUCCUGGGUGCAGUGAUACUGGUGGUGGCCUUGUUUGGAGACUACGGCGCCUGCAACGAGAGCAGAGGCGCCCUGACAGUGUUUGCCGUCUUUCUGUCCAUCGUAUGUGGGUUAGUGAUCGGAGCAGGAGUGAUCGCCUUCAUAAGGAGUGAUUGGGUGGGGCUGCAGAUGACCAUGUUCUACACGACGGUGUAUGCAAAGUAUUUGAAUACGGGGGGUGACCCUAGCAUGACGGUCACUCUGACCCUGAUGCAGAACUGGAUCCAGUGCUGUGGAUUGGUGGGAGCCCUGGACAUUCUGGUCAAAAAGACGUGCCCCGAACACAGCUUCACCGAAUUCUUCACUAUGCCUGCCUGUCCCCCAGCCAUCGUAGACCUGUUUAAGGACAAGGCUCCGUUGGUUUUGGGCCUGUUCCUGGGUACAGCUGCUCUGCUGCUCCUGGCUCUGGGGUGCAGCUCCCAACUCUGCAAGGAAAUAAAGCGCACCCGAACACCCGCUCCCUCCGCUCCCUCCUACAUGAUGAUCCUGUCUACCUCCACCAACCUCCCCUCUACUCCCCACCCAUACGAAGACCCUGUGGUCUUCCCCCCUCCGACACUGGCCAUGACGUCUACUGAUGUCUAGGUGUGCUGCUAAGCAGGCACUCACACUCUCUCUCUCCAGUAUGUCUGCUUUAUAUACCCGUCUUCCUGCUUGUCUUUUACUCCAGUCUGAAUUAAAGGACUGGAGGUGAAUUGAGAAUAACAUGGUGAUCUUUCAGUGCUUACUAGACUUCAGACUUUGUCCCCAAGGGGAAAUACUAACUUACAUGUACAUUUAGUCUUAUCCAGAGCGACUUACAGAAGUACAGGGACAUUCCCCCCGAGGCAAGUAGGGUGAAGUGCCUUGCCCAAGGACACAACGUCAUUUGACACGGCCGGGAAUCGACCCAGCGACCUUCUGAUUACUAGCCUGAUUCGCUAACCGCUCAGCCACCUGACUCCCUACUUGAUAUCCUGGGUUUGGUGGAAUUGUCUCUGCUGCGUUGUGCCUCUGCACCUGCUACCCUCACGCCGUCUCUGGUCGUGUUUAUAGUGGCAUCCAUUUUUGUGACCUCUGUUUCAACCGUUCAUGAAGACCCUGACAUGAAAUGGGGCAUUAUCCACUUCCUGGUCUCCUCCCACUCCUAAACCUUGUUCCUAACAUCCUUCCUUCGCUAUCUCCCCCUCCCCCUGUCCUUUCCUAAGUCAUAGUGCUGGCAUGCAGUUCUAGCCUUGUGAAGGACAUUAAAAUGACAAAGAAUAGAACAGAGCAGAAUAUGGUCUCAAUACUAUAAUUUUUGGUACCAAUAGAUUAUGAGCAUGGUAUAUAGUAAUUUUGACAAUGUAGUAUUUCUGGACUACUGUUCAUUGGACCCAGUUACUAAUGUAAUGCAGAUUGUGGUGCUCCUAUUCAGGAAGCAUGCAUAUAUAAAGGGAUCCAAACAGGUACUGCAAUGUAUAAUAUAUGUUGGUAUAUUUCUUUGUUACAAAUGAACUGUUACAGAUGGCCGUGUGUCUGCUUUUACCUUGUUUUGGAUGUUCAACAAAAGCACCUGUGUACCCUCCACUUGAAUACCAGUCAAUUCAAGUCAAGCUAAUACUAGCUUACUUACAUUUUAAACAUCAUAAGUCCUCAAUAUUGAUAUGUAUACUCUUCCAUACGCAUGCCUAUAGGAUGAAGUGCCUUGGCCAAGGACACAACGUCAUUUGGCACGGCCCGAAUCGAACCGGCAACCUUCUGACUAAUAGCCAGGUUCCCUAACCGCUCAGCCAUCUGACGCUACUUACAUUUUAAACAUCAUAACUCCUCAAUAUUCAUAUGUAUGCUCUUCCAUACGCACGCCUAGUCUCACAUUACAGAACCCAAACCAAACCCAAGGGCUUCUGUUCCAGAGAAUCUCUUUCCCUCAUUCCCAUAAUGACCACGGCCAAGCGCUGGGCCAGCGGCCUCGUAACUGAGAGUUUGACUAAAUAAACACUUCAUGUUAAGGGCCUCUGGAGCCCCAAGUGUGGCCCUCAGAACAGAAGCAGUGUCACACCAGGUAGGGGGCUUUAGUUGUUGACCUCCAUUAUCAUUUCCCCUCUGGCCGUGUUUGUUGGCCUGAGACUGUUCACUGCUGAUGAGACAGAGGUUCUACUCUGAAACGACCAAAGGAAGUUCAAGUGUCGAGUAGAAUAUCGUGUUCUAAAGCUUGUUUUUGCACUGUUGUAGGUAUUUCUACUGUAUGCAUUGUACUACUGAGUCUGAUGCAUAGUCUGUUCAAAAUAAAAAUACAAUUCUCUUA